AGUAGCAGCCAUAUCACCCUGCAACUCACAACUGGCGACCCAUUGAAGCUCAGCAGGUGUGAGCCUGGUCAGUACCUGGAUGGGAGACCUCCUGGGAAAAACUAAGGUUGCUGCUGGAA
ensembl:rRNA 5S_rRNA 5S ribosomal RNA